rnacentral:rRNA from 1 species
UACGAAGGGGGCUAGCGUUGCUCGGAAUCACUGGGCGUAAAGGGUGCGUAGGCGGGUCUUUUAAGUCAGGGGUGAAAUCCUGGAGCUCAACUCCAGAACUGCCUUUGAUACUGAGGAUCUUGAGUUCGGGAGAGGUGAGUGGAACUGCGAGUGUAGAGGUGAAAUUCGUAGAUAUUCGCAAGAACACCAGUGGCGAAGGCGGCUCACUGGCCCGAUACUGACGCUGAGGCACGAAAGCGUGGGGAGCA